AGCUUUGCGCAGUGGCGAUAUCGUAACCAAUGAGGUUUAACCGAGGUGCGAUUAUUGCUAGUUGAAAACUAAUACCAAAUACAUGAAGGGAGAGGGGUGUCAAUUUUGGGUAAUUUUUGCGUUACGUAAUUUAUAAA